ACCCCUAUGGCGUAAUGGCUAACGCGUUUGACUUCUAUAUAAAUUGAAACCAUCAAAAGAUUCUCGGUUCGAGUCCGGGUAGGGGUG